rnacentral:misc_RNA from 1 species
AAGUCGUAACAAGGUUUCCGUAGGUGAACCUGCGGAAGGAUCAUUAACACGUAUCCAAACGUAAAAAACCCCCCCCGUGAACAUUCAAUCCUGCUCUUGUAACCCGCGUAGUUCGCAAUCUCUGGUAAAUCAUAGCCCGGAAAGUAGUUUUGAUUCAGAGACCUCUGGCUACGUGAGAACAUCCCCAUGCCCCCUUAUAACCCCACAGUUUAAUGUGAAGCUCAAUGUAAUACAUUGGGUAAAAAAACCGAACAACUGUUAACAAUGGAUAUCUUGGUUCUC